rnacentral:rRNA from 1 species
GUGAACGCUGGCGGUAGGCCUAACCCAUGCAAGUCGAACGGCAGCACAGUAAGAGCUUGCUCUUACGGGUGGCGAGUGGCGGACGGGUUAGGAAUACAUCGGAAUCUACUUUUUCGUGGGGGAUAACGUAGGGAAACUUACGCUAAUACCGCAUACGACCUACGGGUGAAAGCAGGGGAUCUUCGGACCUUGCGCGAUUGAAUGAGCCGAUGUCGGAUUAGCUAGUUGGCGGGGUAAAGGCCCACCAAGGCGACGAUCCGUAGCUGGUCUGAGAGGAUGAUCAGCCACACUGGAACUGAGACACGGUCCAGACUCCUACGGGAGGCAGCAGUGGGGAAUAUUGGACAAUGGGCGAAAGCCUGAUCCAGCCAUACCGCGUGGGUGAAGAAGGCCUUCGGGUUGUAAAGCCCUUUUGUUGGGAAAGAAAAGCAGCAGGUUAAUACCCCGCUGUUCUGACGGUACCCAAAGAAUAAGCACCGGCUAACUUCGUG